rnacentral:rRNA from 1 species
GAUGAACGCUAGCGGCAGGCCUAAUACAUGCAAGUCGGACGGGAUCCAUUGGAGAGCUUGCUCGAAGAUGGUGAGAGUGGCGCACGGGUGCGUAACGCGUGAGCAACCUACCCAUAUCAGGGGGAUAGCCCGAAGAAAUUCGGAUUAACACCGCAUAAUAAUAAUGAUUGGCAUCAAUUAUUAUUUAAAUAUUUAUAGGAUAUGGAUGGGCUCGCGUGACAUUAGCUAGUUGGUAAGGUAACGGCUUACCAAGGCGACGAUGCCUAGGGGCUCUGAGAGGAGAAUCCCCCACAUUGGAACUGAGACACGGUCCAAACUCCUACGGGAGGCAGCAGUGAGGAAUAUUGGUCAAUGGGCGAGAGCCUGAACCAGCCAAGUAGCGUGCAGGAUGACGGCCCUAUGGGUUGUAAACUGCUUUUAUAAGGGAAUAAAGCGAGUCUCGUGAGACUUUUUGCAUGUACCUUAUGAAUAAGGACCGGCUAAUUCCGUGCCAGCCGCCGCCGUAA